rnacentral:rRNA from 1 species
UACGUAGGGUGCGAGCGUUAAUCGGAAUUACUGGGCGUAAAGCGUGCGCAGGCGGUUUUGUAAGCCAGAUGUGAAAUCCCCGGGCUUAACCUGGGAAUGGCAUUUGGGACUGCAAGGCUGGAGUGCGGCAGAGGAGACUGGAAUUCCUGGUGUAGCAGUGAAAUGCGUAGAUAUCAGGAGGAACACCGGUGGCGAAGGCGGGUCUCUGGGCCGAUACUGACGCUGAGGAGCGAAAGCGUGGGGAGCAAACAGG